rnacentral:antisense_RNA from 1 species
CUGCAACUAAAAAUAUAAUAGUUUCACCUAAAAUUUCACUA